rnacentral:rRNA from 1 species
GGACCCGCACAAGCGGUGGAUGAUGUGGAUUAAUUCGAUGCAACGCGAAAAACCUUACCUACGCUUGACAUGUCUGGAAUCCCUCAGAGAUGGGGGAGUGCUCGAAAGAGAGCCAGAACACAGGUGCUGCAUGGCUGUCGUCAGCUCGUGUCGUGAGAUGUUGGGUUAAGUCCCGCAACGAGCGCAACCCUUAUCAUUAGUUGCUACGAAAGGGCACUCUAAUGAGACUGCCGGUGACAAACCGGAGGAAGGUGGGGAUGACGUCAAGUCCUCAUGGCCCUUAUGCGUAGGGCUUCACACGUCAUACAAUGGUCGGUACAGAGGGUUGCCAACCCGCGAGGGGGAGCCAAUCCCACAAAACCGAUCGUAGUCCGGAUUGCAGUCUGCAACUCGACUGCAUGAAGUCGGAAUCGCUAGUAAUCGCGGAUCAGCAUGUCGCGGUGAAUACGUUCCCGGGUCUU